GGUUAUGCUUUCGUCAUGUUCCU
rnacentral:snRNA from 1 species